GCUGAAGCAGAGUAUCUGCAUUUAAAAAUAGUGUCUGAGGUGCCAUUAAAAGGACAGGCCUGACAAAAGCACCGUGCCCUUUAUCUAAAAAGGAUUAGAAAAGAAAAGAAUGAAAAAGUUAUCUACUGAUACGAUAAGAUGCUGACAGAGAAAGUAUGAUUUACUACAUGAGUUACUGAAUGUAUUGAUUGGAGACUCGGGUAUGAUUUUAAAGUACACAAAAACAAAAACUUUCAGUAAAGUUAUUCUGACAGGACUGGAAGCCUUUUCAAAUUUGCAUGAAUCUCAUUUGGAUUUUGUCCUGUUAUUUGUGAUUAAACACUACUGGGAUGAAUUUAUUCAUUGUAAUCUAAAUUAAUCUUAAAUACCUGGCUCUGGAGAGGAGCUUGUGUACUUGAACUUCCCCCUGGAAUCAAUUGUCCUAUCUAGAUCAAGAAUACUACUUAUCCUAAUCUAAAAAAAAAAAAAAGUAUAAAAAAUAAAAAAUAAAUGUGAACAUUACAUUUGUUUCUGAAUUGCAGUGGGCAUGUAAGGCAGUAGGGCAAAGAAAAGUAGAGAGAUACUCAGUGAAGUACACCCUGUAGCCUGGACCUGUCGUUUUAGCACAUUACUUGCUCAAAGAGUCAUGGCGCAGGCCUCGUAGGGGCCAGUCAGGCCCCUCCUUCCUUUUACACUUGUAUGUCAUGUGCAUAUGAUUACACUUCUUUUACAUGUACGUCAAUGCGACAGAGAGAAACACAGGGCUUGUGGUGCUAUGACUUUAAGAGCAGCGGUGCAACUUUUCUGAGCUAUUAAAAACAAAACUGAGUCAUCACCGAGUCACACACAAAAAAAAAACCUUUAAGAAACGAAGCCGGCAACUCAACAUUUACACUAACAUGCUCUUCUAAACCGGCCCUCACGAGUUGCAAAUAUGCAUGCAGAUAUAAGUGUGGUUUUGGCCUGAAACAGUCAUUUGUGUAUCUCACAGCUCACUGUGCAGAAACAGUCUGGUUUCCACAGGUAGCUAAAUAAGUUCUUUUGACACAUCUCUUUGCUCAUCCUACCUAUUACCAUAUAAGGCCAUAGAAAUCCAUCUGAGCUGCAGAUGGCUUAAAAAGUGUAGACGCGGUUGUUCUCCAUAUAUGGACGUCAUGUGCCGCUCCCGUCUAUAACACCUGGGAGCCUCACCUGAGAAAGAUAAAAGAUAUCAAGCUUAACAAGACUAAAGCGCAUAGAAGUAAAAGUAACAAAGAAAACAAAAAACACUCACGUUGUGUGAGG
ensembl:lncRNA